rnacentral:rRNA from 1 species
UUAAGCGACUAAGCGUACACGGUGGAUGCCCUGGCAGUCAGAGGCGAUGAAGGACGUGCUAAUCUGCGAUAAGCGUCGGUAAGGUGAUAUGAACCGUUAUAACCGGCGAUUUCCGAAUGGGGAAACCCAGUGUGUUUCGACACACUAUCAUUAACUGAAUCCAUAGGUUAAUGAGGCGAACCGGGGGAACUGAAACAUCUAAGUACCCCGAGGAAAAGAAAUCAACCGAGAUUCCCCCAGUAGCGGCGAGCGAACGGGGAGCAGCCCAGAGCCUGAAUCAGUGUGUGUGUUAGUGGAAGCGUCUGGAAAGGCGCGCGAUACAGGGUGACAGCCCCGUACACAAAAAUGCACAUACUGUGAGCUCGAUGAGUAGGGCGGGACACGUGGUAUCCUGUCUGAAUAUGGGGGGACCAUCCUCCAAGGCUAAAUACUCCUGACUGACCGAUAGUGAACCAGUACCGUGAGGGAAAGGCGAAAAGAACCCCGGCGAGGGGAGUGAAAAAGAACCUGAAACCGUGUACGUACAAGCAGUGGGAGCACGCUUAGGCGUGUGACUGCGUACCUUUUGUAUAAUGGGUCAGCGACUUAUAUUCUGUAGCAAGGUUAACCGAAUAGGGGAGCCGAAGGGAAACCGAGUCUUAACUGGGCGUUAAGUUGCAGGGUAUAGACCCGAAACCCGGUGAUCUAGCCAUGGGCAGGUUGAAGGUUGGGUAACACUAACUGGAGGACCGAACCGACUAAUGUUGAAAAAUUAGCGGAUGACUUGUGGCUGGGGGUGAAAGGCCAAUCAAACCGGGAGAUAGCUGGUUCUCCCCGAAAGCUAUUUAGGUAGCGCCUCGUGAAUUCAUCUCCGGGGGUAGAGCACUGUUUCGGCAAGGGGGUCAUCCCGACUUACCAACCCGAUGCAAACUGCGAAUACCGGAGAAUGUUAUCACGGGAGACACACGGCGGGUGCUAACGUCCGUCGUGAAGAGGGAAACAACCCAGACCGCCAGCUAAGGUCCCAAAGUCAUGGUUAAGUGGGAAACGAUGUGGGAAGGCCCAGACAGCCAGGAUGUUGGCUUAGAAGCAGCCAUCAUUUAAAGAAAGCGUAAUAGCUCACUGGUCGAGUCGGCCUGCGCGGAAGAUGUAACGGGGCUAAACCAUGCACCGAAGCUGCGGCAGCGACGCUUAUGCGUUGUUGGGUAGGGGAGCGUUCUGUAAGCCUGCGAAGGUGUGCUGUGAGGCAUGCUGGAGGUAUCAGAAGUGCGAAUGCUGACAUAAGUAACGAUAAAGCGGGUGAAAAGCCCGCUCGCCGGAAGACCAAGGGUUCCUGUCCAACGUUAAUCGGGGCAGGGUGAGUCGACCCCUAAGGCGAGGCCGAAAGGCGUAGUCGAUGGGAAACAGGUUAAUAUUCCUGUACUUGGUGUUACUGCGAAGGGGGGACGGAGAAGGCUAUGUUGGCCGGGCGACGGUUGUCCCGGUUUAAGCGUGUAGGCUGGUUUUCCAGGCAAAUCCGGAAAAUCAAGGCUGAGGCGUGAUGACGAGGCACUACGGUGCUGAAGCAACAAAUGCCCUGCUUCCAGGAAAAGCCUCUAAGCAUCAGGUAACAUCAAAUCGUACCCCAAACCGACACAGGUGGUCAGGUAGAGAAUACCAAGGCGCUUGAGAGAACUCGGGUGAAGGAACUAGGCAAAAUGGUGCCGUAACUUCGGGAGAAGGCACGCUGAUAUGUAGGUGAAGUGAUUUACUCAUGGAGCUGAAAUCAGUCGAAGAUACCAGCUGGCUGCAACUGUUUAUUAAAAACACAGCACUGUGCAAACACGAAAGUGGACGUAUACGGUGUGACGCCUGCCCGGUGCCGGAAGGUUAAUUGAUGGGGUUAGCGCAAGCGAAGCUCUUGAUCGAAGCCCCGGUAAACGGCGGCCGUAACUAUAACGGUCCUAAGGUAGCGAAAUUCCUUGUCGGGUAAGUUCCGACCUGCACGAAUGGCGUAAUGAUGGCCAGGCUGUCUCCACCCGAGACUCAGUGAAAUUGAACUCGCUGUGAAGAUGCAGUGUACCCGCGGCAAGACGGAAAGACCCCGUGAACCUUUACUAUAGCUUGACACUGAACAUUGAGCCUUGAUGUGUAGGAUAGGUGGGAGGCUUUGAAGUGUGGACGCCAGUCUGCAUGGAGCCGACCUUGAAAUACCACCCUUUAAUGUUUGAUGUUCUAACGUGGACCCGUAAUCCGGGUUGCGGACAGUGUCUGGUGGGUAGUUUGACUGGGGCGGUCUCCUCCUAAAGAGUAACGGAGGAGCACGAAGGUUGGCUAAUCCUGGUCGGACAUCAGGAGGUUAGUGCAAUGGCAUAAGCCAGCUUGACUGCGAGCGUGACGGCGCGAGCAGGUGCGAAAGCAGGUCAUAGUGAUCCGGUGGUUCUGAAUGGAAGGGCCAUCGCUCAACGGAUAAAAGGUACUCCGGGGAUAACAGGCUGAUACCGCCCAAGAGUUCAUAUCGACGGCGGUGUUUGGCACCUCGAUGUCGGCUCAUCACAUCCUGGGGCUGAAGUAGGUCCCAAGGGUAUGGCUGUUCGCCAUUUAAAGUGGUACGCGAGCUGGGUUUAGAACGUCGUGAGACAGUUCGGUCCCUAUCUGCCGUGGGCGCUGGAGAACUGAGGGGGGCUGCUCCUAGUACGAGAGGACCGGAGUGGACGCAUCACUGGUGUUCGGGUUGUCAUGCCAAUGGCACUGCCCGGUAGCUAAAUGCGGAAGAGAUAAGUGCUGAAAGCAUCUAAGCACGAAACUUGCCCCGAGAUGAGUUCUCCCUGACCCUUUAAGGGUCCUGAAGGAACGUUGAAGACGACGACGUUGAUAGGCCGGGUGUGUAAGCGCAGCGAUGCGUUGAGCUAACCGGUACUAAUGAACCGUGAGGCUUAACCUU